UGCAAGUCGAGCGAACAGACGAGGAGCUUGCUCCUCUGACGUUAGCGGCGGACGGGUGAGUAACACGUGGAUAACCUACCUAUAAGACUGGGAUAACUUCGGGAAACCGGAGCUAAUACCGGAUAACAUGUUGAACCGCAUGGUUCAACAGUGAAAGACGGUCUUGCUGUCACUUAUAGAUGGAUCCGCGCCGCAUUAGCUAGUUGGUAAGGUAACGGCUUACCAAGGCAACGAUGCGUAGCCGACCUGAGAGGGUGAUCGGCCACACUGGAACUGAGACACGGUCCAGACUCCUACGGGAGGCAGCAGUAGGGAAUCUUCCGCAAUGGGCGAAAGCCUGACGGAGCAACGCCGCGUGAGUGAAGAAGGUCUUCGGAUCGUAAAACUCUGUUAUUAGGGAAGAACAAAUGUGUAAGUAACUAUGCACGUCUUGACGGUACCUAAUCAGAAAGCCACGGCUAACUACGUGCCAGCAGCCGCGGUAAUACGUAGGUGGCAAGCGUUAUCCGGAAUUAUUGGGCGUAAAGCGCGCGUAGGCGGUUUUUUAAGUCUGAUGUGAAAGCCCACGGCUCAACCGUGGAGGGUCAUUGGAAACUGGAAAACUUGAGUGCAGAAGAGGAAAGUGGAAUUCCAUGUGUAGCGGUGAAAUGCGCAGAGAUAUGGAGGAACACCAGUGGCGAAGGCGACUUUCUGGUCUGUAACUGACGCUGAUGUGCGAAAGCGUGGGGAUCAAACAGGAUUAGAUACCCUGGUAGUCCACGCCGUAAACGAUGAGUGCUAAGUGUUAGGGGGUUUCCGCCCCUUAGUGCUGCAGCUAACGCAUUAAGCACUCCGCCUGGGGAGUACGACCGCAAGGUUGAAACUCAAAGGAAUUGACGGGGACCCGCACAAGCGGUGGAGCAUGUGGUUUAAUUCGAAGCAACGCGAAGAACCUUACCAAAUCUUGACAUCCUCUGACCCCUCUAGAGAUAGAGUUUUCCCCUUCGGGGGACAGAGUGACAGGUGGUGCAUGGUUGUCGUCAGCUCGUGUCGUGAGAUGUUGGGUUAAGUCCCGCAACGAGCGCAACCCUUAAGCUUAGUUGCCAUCAUUAAGUUGGGCACUCUAAGUUGACUGCCGGUGACAAACCGGAGGAAGGUGGGGAUGACGUCAAAUCAUCAUGCCCCUUAUGAUUUGGGCUACACACGUGCUACAAUGGACAAUACAAAGGGUAGCGAAACCGCGAGGUCAAGCAAAUCCCAUAAAGUUGUUCUCAGUUCGGAUUGUAGUCUGCAACUCGACUACAUGAAGCUGGAAUCGCUAGUAAUCGUAGAUCAGC
rnacentral:rRNA from 1 species